rnacentral:rRNA from 1 species
UACGGAGGAUGCAAGCGUUAUCCGGAAUGAUUGGGCGUAAAGCGUCCGCAGGUGGCAAUGUAAGUCUGCUGUUAAAGAGUCUAGCUCAACUAGAUAAAAGCAGUGGAAACUACAUAGCUAGAGUACGUUCGGGGCAGAGGGAAUUUCCGGUGGAGCGGUGAAAUGCGUAGAGAUCGGAAAGAACACCAACGGCGAAAGCGCUCUGCUGGGCCGACACUGACACUGAGAGACGAAAGCUAGGGGAGCGAAUGGG